CUGGAUUUGGCCUUGGUGUUGUGAUUUCUGGAGCAAUCCGCGUACAUGAGGACAUGCUUCUUGCUGCCUGUAAGUGCCUCUCACGAACAUGUUAUCCAUGAUUGCCUGCCAGUAUGCCAAGCAUUUCCUCAAAAAAAUUAACAAUAUUAUGGAAUGCUUAUCAUGUUUCAUGUGUUCAAACAGCGGAAACACUAGCUGCACAGGCCACUCAGGAGAACUUCGACAAGGGAUCCAUCUUUCCACCCUUCACCAACAUCAGAAAGAUAUCUGCCCUCAUUGCUGCUAGCGUGGCUGCAAAAGCCUACGAACUUGGUAUGUUCUCCGACACCCUUGCCCCCCUUCAGGCCUCAUGGAAUACCUGUGCUUGACAUUGCUAACUUUUUUUUGCAGGCUUGGCGACUCGCCUGCCGCGGCCGAGAGAUCUGGAGAAAUAUGCGGAGAGCUGCAUGUACACCCCUGUCUACCGCAGCUAUCGUUAAUGCAGUGGAGAUCAAUUUUGCAGUAAUAAAACGCAAGGUCGCAGGAUGCUGCGGCGCUGUUGUUGUCUGUCGCUGUUCUUGCCGCUGCUGCAAGUCGUAUCUGUCUAUACAUAUAUGCCGUGUGUGUUGUAACGCUGUGGAAGAAGUUAAGCAAACUGUCUUGUGUAUCAACGUUUGUUAUUCGUGUAGGUUGAGUGCAACGAGUGUAAUAAGGACACAGAGCUCUAGUUCUCAAGGUAAUAUGGCUAGUGCUCCUCGCCUUUUAUCUCAACUGGGAUCCUUGACCAUAUAUGAAAAUCAAUGCAAAUUAGCAUGCACCAGUGAAGGAGUUAACUAAUGGAUGGUAUCAAAAGUUUUAGUCAAAUGGGAAAUAUUUAUA
rnacentral:lncRNA from 1 species